AGCGAACGCUGGCGGCAGGCCUAACACAUGCAAGUCGAGCGGGCAACCGGGUGGUGUCAGCGGCAGACGGGUGGGUAACGCGUGGGAACGUGCCCUUCGUUCCGGAUUAACUCGGGGAACCUCGAGAUAAUACCGGUUACAUUCCAGAGCAGAAAGGGUUAGCUGCCGUAGGAUCGGCCAGCGGCUGAUUACCUAGUUGGUGAGGUUAUGGCUCACCAAGGCGACGAUCAGUAGCUGGUCUGAGAGGAUGCUCAGCCACACUGGGACUGAGACACGGCCCAGACUCCUACGGGAGGCAGCAGUGGGGAAUAUUGGACAAUGGGGGCAAUCCUGAUCCAGCCAUGCCGCGUGAGUGAUGAAGGUCUUAGGGUUGGAAAGUUCUUUUCUCCGGGACGAUAAUGACGGUACCGGAGGAAUAAGCCCCGGCUAACUUCGUG
rnacentral:rRNA from 1 species